UGGGCAAACUUUUUGGCCUACGGGCCACAUCUUGGCAUGGAAAUUGUAUGGGGGGGCCAUGAUUGCUCACAAAAUUGAGGGUUGGGGUGUGGGAGGGGGCUCCGGGGAGGAGCCAGA